rnacentral:rRNA from 1 species
UACAGAGGUCUCAAGCGUUGUUCGGAAUUACUGGGCGUAAAGGGUGCGCAGGCUGCGCGGCAAGUCAAAUGUGAAAUUCAGGGGCUCAACCCCUGCAUUGCGCUUGAUACUUCCGCGCUCGAGCCUUGGAAAGGAGUCUGGAAUUCUCGGUGUAGCAGUGAAAUGCGUAGAUAUCGUGAGGAAGACCAGUGGCGAAGGCGGGUCUCUGGACAGUUCCUGGCACUGAGGCACGAAGGCCAGGGGAGCAAACGGG